rnacentral:lncRNA from 1 species
UUAAUUCCCCCAUGUCUGCCUCUUCUGCCAGGGGUCUUUUCAAACAUAGACAAUCAUGGGAUAUUAAACUUGAAGGACAAUAGAGAUCAUCUAGUCCCAUCAACUCACUAUAUAUAUGAGGAACCUGAGGUCCAGAGUGGGGAAGUGUCUUACCCAAGGUCACAUGGUUUCAGAGAAAUUAUGUUGAAUCCAAUAAGCCUUCCCGGACAUUCCAAGCCUCUUAACCAUGGCAUCUAUGUUGAGGAUGUCAAUGUUUAUUUCAGCAAAGGACGUCAUGGCUUUUAAAAACUCCUUUUAAGCCUCCUUGUUUUGAUGUCACCUUGGUAGGCUGGGCCCUCUGAGAGGUUGGAAGCUCUAGGCAUUGUUCUCUUUGGAUCCAGGGAUGCUAAGUAGAAACUGCAUGAGCCACCAGUGCCCUGGCACCCUUUAACACCACCAGAUGGGUGUUUUCCCCCAUCCACCACUGGCAGGGUUGCCCCUUCCC